rnacentral:rRNA from 1 species
UACGUAGGGGGCAAGCGUUACCCGGAUUUACUGGGCGUAAAGCGCGUGUAGGCGGCUGGCCAAGUGUGGUGUGAAAUCCCCCGGCUCAACCGGGGAACUGCAUUGCAAACUGGUCUGGCUAGAGUGCAGGAGAGGGAAGUGGAAUUCCCGGUGUAGCGGUGAAAUGCGUAGAUAUCGGGAAGAACACCAGUGGCGAAGGCGGCUUCCUGGCCUGCAACUGACGCUGAGACGCGAAAGCGUGGGGAGCGAACCGG